AAAGCCACCCUACAGGGGGGAUGAGAACCACCGACCGGGGUUCGACAACUGGCGCAGCCAGUUGGACAGACGACGAGCUUGCGAGGAGACUGCCCGAAGAGCGAGCGCAGCGAGUCAAUCCCCCCCUCACCGCCA
rnacentral:sRNA from 2 species